rnacentral:rRNA from 1 species
GACGAACGCUGGCGGCGUGCUUAACACAUGCAAGUCGAACGGAAAGGCCCUGCUUUUGUGGGGUGCUCGAGUGGCGAACGGGUGAGUAACACGUGAGUAACCUGCCCUUGACUUUGGGAUAACUUCAGGAAACUGGGGCUAAUACCGGAUAGCAGCUCCUGCUGCAUGGUGGGGGUUGGAAAGUUUCGGCGGUUGGGGAUGGACUCGCGGCUUAUCAGCUUGUUGGUGGGGUAGUGGCUUACCAAGGCUUUGACGGGUAGCCGGCCUGAGAGGGUGACCGGCCACAUUGGGACUGCGAUACGGCCCAGACUCCUACGGGAGGCAGCAGUGGGGAAUAUUGCACAAUGGGCGGAAGCCUGAUGCAGCAACGCCGCGUGCGGGAUGACGGCCUUCGGGUUGUAAACCGCUUUCGCCUGUGACGAAGCGUGAGUGACGGUAAUGGGUAAAGAAGCACCGGCUAACUACGUG